rnacentral:rRNA from 1 species
GACGAACGCUGGCGGCGUGCUUAACACAUGCAAGUCGAACGAAGUGGCGAACGGGUGAGUAACGCGUAAUCAACCUGCCCUUCAGAGGGGGAUAACAGUUGGAAACGACUGCUAAUACCGCAUACUGAGGGAGGGGCUUGCGUCUGAUUAGCUAGUGGGGGGGGUAACGGCCCACCAAGGCGAUGAUCAGUAGCCGGACUUAUAGGAUGAACGGCCACAUUGUGACUGAGGCACGGCCCAGACUCCUACGGGAGGCAGCAGUGGGGAAACGUCCGCAAUGGACGAAAGUCUGACGGAGCAACGCCGCGUGAGUGAUGACGGCCUUCGGGUUGUAAAGCUCUGUUAAUCGGGACGCGGUACCGGAAUAGAAAGCCACGGCUAACUACGUGCCAGCAGCCGCGGUAAUUC